UACGGGGGGGGCAAGCGUUGUUCGGAAUUACUGGGCGUAAAGGGCUCGUAGGUGGCCAACUAAGUCAGACGUGAAAUCCCUCGGCUUAACCGGGGAACUGCGUCUGAUACUGGAUGGCUUGAGUUCGGGAGAGGGAUGCGGAAUUCCAGGUGUAGCGGUGAAAUGCGUAGAUAUCGGGAGGAACACCAGUGGCGAAGGCGGCGACCUGGACAGAUAUUGACGCUGAGGUGCGAAAGCGUGGGGAGCAAACAGG
rnacentral:rRNA from 1 species